rnacentral:rRNA from 1 species
GACGAACGCUGGCGGCGUGCCUAACACAUGCAAGUCGAGCGAUGAAGCCCUUCGGGGUGGAUUAGCGGCGGACGGGUGAGUAACACGUGGGUAACCUGCCUCAAAGAGGGGGAUAGCCUCCCGAAAGGGAGAUUAAUACCGCAUAACAUUAGUUUUUCGCAUGAAGAACUAAUUAAGGAGUAAUCCGCUUUGAGAUGGACCCGCGGCGCAUUAGCUAGUUGGUGAGGUAAAGGCUCACCAAGGCGACGAUGCGUAGCCGACCUGAGAGGGUGAUCGGCCACAUUGGAACUGAGACACGGUCCAGACUCCUACGGGAGGCAGCAGUGGGGAAUAUUGCACAAUGGGCGAAAGCCUGAUGCAGCAACGCCGCGUGAGUGAUGAAGGCCUUCGGGUUGUAAAGCUCUGUCUUUUGGGACGAUAAUGACGGUACCAAAGGAGGAAGCCACGGCUAACUACGUGCCAGCCGCCGCAGUAACAC